AGAGUUUGAUCCUGGCUCAGGACGAACGCUGGCGGCGUGCCUAAUACAUGCAAGUCGAACGAGAGCGACCGGUGCUUGCACUGGUCAAUCUAGUGGCGAACGGGUGAGUAACACGUGGGUAACCUGCCCAUCAGAGGGGGAUAACAUUCGGAAACGGAUGCUAAAACCGCAUAGGUCUUCGAACCGCAUGGUUUGAAGAGGAAAAGAGGCGCAAGCUUCUGCUGAUGGAUGGACCCGCGGUGCAUUAGCUAGUUGGUGAGGUAACGGCUCACCAAGGCCGUGAUGCAUAGCCGACCUGAGAGGGUGAUCGGCCACAUUGGGACUGAGACACGGCCCAAACUCCUACGGGAGGCAGCAGUAGGGAAUCUUCCGCAAUGGACGCAAGUCUGACGGAGCAACGCCGCGUGAGUGAAGAAGGUUUUCGGAUCGUAAAACUCUGUUGUUAGAGAAGAACAAGUGCUAGAGUAACUGUUAGCGCCUUGACGGUAUCUAACCAGAAAGCCACGGCUAACUACGUGCCAGCAGCCGCGGUAAUACGUAGGUGGCAAGCGUUGUCCGGAUUUAUUGGGCGUAAAGCGAGCGCAGGCGGUUCCUUAAGUCUGAUGUGAAAGCCCCCGGCUCAACCGGGGAGGGUCAUUGGAAACUGGGGAACUUGAGUGCAGAAGAGGAGAGUGGAAUUCCAUGUGUAGCGGUGAAAUGCGUAGAUAUAUGGAGGAACACCAGUGGCGAAGGCGACUCUCUGGUCUGUAACUGACGCUGAGGCUCGAAAGCGUGGGUAGCAAACAGGAUUAGAUACCCUGGUAGUCCACGCCGUAAACGAUGAGUGCUAAGUGUUGGUCUCAUAAGAGAUCAGUGCUGCAGCUAACGCAUUAAGCACUCCGCCUGGGGAGUACGACCGCAAGGUUGAAAC
rnacentral:rRNA from 2 species